UUAUAGCUCAGUCGGUAGAACAUGAGACUCUCAAUCUCAGGGUUGUGGGUUCGAGCCCCACAUUCGGCAAAA